AGAUUGAAUAUACCCGAUCUCGUCUGAUCUCGAAAGUCAAGCAAUCUCGGGCUUGGUUAGUACUUGGAUGGGUGACCGCUUGGGAAUACCAAGUGUGAUAAGCG
rnacentral:rRNA from 1 species